UUCCAUAGAAAUGGCUAUGGGGUUGAUUAAUGCUAAUCCUAUAAUCCAUGAGAAAAAAGAAAGACGCAUCCGACAGGCACCAGAGACCACAGAUGAAAAUGCGGUAGAGUCCAUAGACCAGCUGGAAAUAUUUGAUAUCCUUCUUAAUGAUUUCCCUUAUAUAAAUGUAGUGAAGCUUGCCUUUUCAUUUAUCUGUGAAUCCUCUAUCCUAGCAAUUUGGUUGUUGCGGUCCUUAACGUUCUUACAUCACAUUAGAGAUAUAAAGGAUCCAGAGCACCCAUACUCACUGGAACAGCUUAAUGUGGUGACUGAAGACUCAAUUGAACUCAAUGAUGAAAGCAAUCAUGUCAGGUAAGUUCUCAUAUAUGAUAUAUCUAAGUUCCUUGGUUUGGAUGUACAAUUAAGGAUUGUUACCGAAGCUCACUAUUGAGACUCAUAA
rnacentral:lncRNA from 1 species